rnacentral:rRNA from 1 species
GACGAACGCUGGCGGCGUGCCUUACCCAUGCAAGUCGGACGGCUGGGGUUUCGGCCCUAGCAGUGGCAGACGGCUGAGUAACACGUGAGGACCUAUCCAGUUGAGGGGGAUAGCCGCUCGAAAGAGCGGGUAAUACCGCGUAAGGAUGGCGGGUGAGAGCCUGUUAUCGAAAGCAGGGAGACUUGCGCGACUGGAGGGACUCGCGGCCCAUCAGGUAGUAGGUGAGGUAAGAGCCCACCUAGCCGAUGACGGGUAGCUGGUCUGAGAGGAUGGCCAGCCAGACUGGGACUGAGAGACGGCCCAGACUCCUACGGGGGGCAGCAGGGGGGGAUCUUGGUCAAUGGGGGAAACCCUGAACCAGCGACGCCGCGUGAGGGAAGAAGGUCUUUGGAUCGUAAACCUCUUUUGCCAGGGAAGAUGAUGACGGUACCCGGCGAAUAAGCCCCGGCUAACUACGUGCCAGCAGCCGCGGUAAUACGUANGGGGCGAGCGUUGUCCGG